GGCCCAGGUGCCCUUGGGCCGGUACUCCAGGACGAUGGCUGUGAUAGGGCAGCCCCCGUUGUUCCAGCCCUGCAGGUUAAGCCGAGCAUGCGUGGAGUUGAUGUGGGUGAACAGCUGGGUGAUCGCUAAGCCUCACCCCGCCCGUGGGUCUUUGCCUCGAUGAUCUCGCUGAUGCGCCCGGAGCCCACGCUGUUCUUGGCUGCCAGCUUCACCUUGUACCACGUGCCACACUUGAGGCUGUCCAACUUGAAGGACCGCUCCCCUGAGCUGAUGAACACAUCCUUCCACUCUUCGCUGUUGUCCACCGAGUACUGCAGCACGAAGCCUGCCCGGGAGAUUUGGGAACUGAGGCCCAGAGAAGAAAACCGAUCUCUCCAGGUUCACACAGCUCACCAGCAGCAUUUGGGGUGGGCCGUCUAAACGUGGGAUACCUAGGCUGGUGACUUUCUGUGGCACUUGGACCCCUCUCACCUCGGAUGGAGCUGCCCCCAUUGUCACCUGGAAUCCAGGUCAGGGUGAUGGAUGAAGCGGAGGUUUUAGAGACAGUGAGGCGGGGCUGGUCCGGGGGAACUGUGAGGGAAAGCCACCAGCCCUCACCACAAAGCGUUAACAUCCGAUGACGGGGGCGUGGGGUCUCCCAGCUGCAAGUGAGGGCCAAGGCCUGGCUUUCCCACCCUCUUGGAGCCUCCCCGGCUCCCGCUCCUUCUCUCCAUCCCUCCUGCCUUCUCUUCCAUGUGGCACCUCUGUCCCACUGAGGGUCUGUCGCCCAGGUCGUUGGGGAGGUUGCCGGGGGGCCAGCCUUCCAGGGUCUUACCUUGCACCAGAAGGUUGACGAUGAUAGUGUCGAAGCCUCCAGUGUUGGUGGCCGUGCAGGUGUAGUAGCCUGAGUCCUCAGCCUUCACAGCACGCAGCAGCAGUGUGCCGUUGGUAUGGAUGAGCCGGUGCCCGUCCACGGACACAGGGAUGGCCGAGUCUUCACUGCAGGGGUGGGGGGGGGCAGAGAGGGGUUAUGGUAAGCACCCCCUCUUCCCGGGGCCUCCCUCAGGACUGGAGGCACACAGGGCUGGGAGCAGAAGGAGGCUGGCUAGGCGGCCCAGGGCCCUUGGCUCUGCUCAGCACUUCCUGGGGAUAUCCUGUAACCCUGCCCUCUUCAGGCACCCAGGGAGGGGAGAUCCUUAGCCGUCAACAGUGGGGAGCCAGGGAGCCCAGGCCUCCUGGGAGAGCAGUAGCCGUGCACCCGGCAGGGCCUCUGGUCAGCUGGAAGCAGGGGCUGGAUCUCCCACUGAAUUGCAGGGCAGCCGGACGUCUUUCAUCCAGGGUGUUGUCACGGUGCCUCCGAAUGAGAUGAUCUUCGCUGGGGCUACGGGGAGGAGAACGUGAGGGCACCCCACUCCUACCCACAAUGCUGUACUGGGCGGCCUUUCCUGGGGCUCCCCAAAUUUACGCAUCAAGCCCCCCAUCUCCUACCUGACCUCCGCUUUGAGCUUGGAGCAGGGGUGGGUGCAGGCAAGCUCAGAUGGGAGUCAUUGGUUCAACAAACAUUUAUCAAAUAAAUACUUGCUAUGGGCCAGGUCUCCCAUGAGGCUCUGAAGACUCA